UAGGGAAUCUUCGGCAAUGGACGAAAGUCUGACCGAGCAACGCCGCGUGAGUGAAGAAGGUUUUCGGAUCGCAAAACUCUGUUGGUAGAGAAGAACGUUGGUGAGAGUGGAAAGCUCAUCAAGUGACGGUAACUACCCAGAAAGGGACGGCUAACUACGUGCCAG
rnacentral:rRNA from 1 species